rnacentral:rRNA from 1 species
CCUAGCAACUAGGUAAUCGUGAAUGUUGGUCCGUGUUGGCCACAGCCAUAGACUAGUUACUCACUGAAGCUAAGCAGGGCUGAGCCUGGUCAGUACCUGGAUGAGAGACCACAUGGGAAAACUUGGUUGCUGUUGGAA